GCCCCCAUAGCUCAACGGAUAGAGUAGGAGAUUUCUAAUCUCUUGAUGUAGGUUCGAUUCCUGCUGGGGGCA
rnacentral:tRNA from 4 species